GUUGGGAGAUAAAAUAUUUAUAUAACUUUCCUGUUAUGUUCAAUCAUCACAGUACUACAGGUUUUUUUCUUUUCUUUUUUUUUUUUUUUUUUUUUUUUUUUUUUUUUUUGUCCUGGCUCUUCUUCAGGAACAUCAUCAUAUCAGGAACAGAAGGAUUCAAUCUGGCUUCAAGGAAAGGAAUUCAGCACUUUUCUCAAGAAAAUGGUGAUUGACAAAAUUAUCCUAAAGGUAGAGAAAUCCUGGAUUCCACUUCAUGUUUGUCUCAUCUGCCAGUGUGGGGAAGAAUCAAGAAAAGAAUUCAAGAGACAAUUUUGACACACACACGUAUCUCUAUGGCAACAUGAAACCUCCCAUAGAUAUGCCUGGAGCCGAAGCAUGGGUUUGGAUUGGGUUUGGGUCAACUCUGAGUCAAGAAGAUAUUAGGUCAUAUGGGAUUCCUGAUUCUUAUUUUAAAAUGUAAUCAAGACGUAGGCAUGAUAAAACAGUAUUUUGUAGGUUCCAGCAGAGAGAAAGUAAAAUAAUGGAAGGAAGAAAAAGGAAAAAAAGGAAAAGAAAAGUUUUUUAAAAAAUGUUUAGCCUUUGAUGUAAUCAUAGAUUAGUGACCUGCACAUUAAAUAAAAAUCUAUAGUAUACUCAUUU
rnacentral:lncRNA from 1 species